rnacentral:rRNA from 1 species
UACCAGCACCCCGAGUGGUCGGGACGUUUAUUGGGCCUAAAGCAUCCGUAGCCGGUUCUACAAGUCUUCCGUUAAAUCCAACUGCUUAACAGGUGGGCUGCGGAAGAUACUAUAGAGCUAGGAGGCGGGAGAGGCAAGCGGUACUCGAUGGGUAGGGGUAAAAUCCGUUGAUCCAUUGAAGACCACCAGUGGCGAAGGCGGCUCUCUGGGACGGUACUGACGCUGAGACGCGAAAGCGUGGGGAGCAAACAGG